UUUCGUCUUGCUGGCUGCUUCCGCCCAUUCUUAGCGCCGCGCCCCGCCGCGCCGCGCGGCGCGCAAUGGGGAGCCAGUGGGCAAGCCGACGACAUACUUCUUCCCGUUAGGGUUUUCGCUGCGCUGCGUCAUACGCCGCGGCUUUGCGAGGUGUCAUGAACAGAUCGUGCUUGAUGGAUUGAUGGUAGUAGUGAAGCCGACUGAAAGCAGCUUCACCGUGCGAUGCAGACAUUGAGCAUCACGACAAUUUUUCUUUCUCAAGGAUUAAGAUAACUUCUGUCCACAAAGCAGCAGUCACAUGGACCUCUGCUCCAUUACUGUGAGAACAUUGCAGGCAACAGGUUUACCAGCACCACAUCAGAUCCUCUUGAAAAUGAAGCACAAGAGCCGAUUCUUGCAUUGAUUAUUUGAUUCACUGACGAUCGCUUUACCUGACGCGGAAAGGGACUCAAACCAUUGGAAGAUGUGGCACUUCCAAUCUCACCGGGUUACUGGGGAACAUGUUGCCCUCUAAAUGUGCCACAGAUGGACGGACCGGGAUCACUGACGCAUGAACAUGACGCAGCGGUCUAUUUCUUUGCAGAAUGCAGGGUCCUUGCUCCGAAAGCGACGGACAUGUACUCUUUGGACAUCCCAACGGCUGCAAAACCUUGUGCACUCAUCAGGUGACACCUGCAUCUGCCGGUGUAGUUGCAGUACCACAGCAAUAAUUCAGUGUACAUCAUAUAUAGAUGGGGGCAUCUUUGGAAUCUGAAAGUAGCCAGAAGGAUCCAGCAGCAGUGUUAAUUAAGAUACAUAAUUGACCAGUCUGUCCUUGCAUCGAUCAAUAACUGACGGAUUCUUGUGCCUUCAAUUGCUUGUUUCUUCAGAGUUUAGAAAUAAGACUGGAGCUGCUGCCGGUUGCUUUCCUGAGGAUGGACCAAAUUAAGUGUCUGGAUCUCACUGUUGAGCACUAAAAUGCCUAGUCAGGGCGCAGUAUUUGGUGGAUGAAGAAAGCCAGUUAUCGCGUGAUGCUGCUUUAAUCUCUACUUCCAGUUAUUAGGGAGCUUCACAGUUAAGCAGGGUUAAAGGAUAAUUCGUCCUUCAGAUGAUGUGGUGGCAUUGCAAGGUUUACCAGGUUGAUUUUAUGGUCAUGUGCACUGCUGAGAUAUUUUGAUCAGGUAAAGCAUGAAAGGAACACUAGUGGCAGAUCUUGUAACUGUUACGUCUCAUCCUUUCUUAGGAUCUGUUGACGUCGCUGCUGCUGCCAAAUUCUUCUUUGGCUUUUCACCUGUCUCAUAUUCUGUUCAUCUUAAUUUACAGAGAGAUAACUACUGCUUAUACCACUUAUAGUUAUUAAUUUGGACAGCGUUGUCAGAGCUAUUUUCAA